rnacentral:rRNA from 1 species
GAUGAACGCUAGCUACAGGCUUAACACAUGCAAGUCGCGGGACCGGCGCACGGGUGAGUAACACGUAUCCAACCUGCCCUUUACUCGGGGAUAGCCUUUCGACAGAAAGAUUAAUACCCGAUAUAAAGGAUGGGGAUGCGUUCCAUUAGGUUGUUGGGGAGGUAACGGCCCACCAAGCCUUCGAUGGAUAGGGGUUCUGAGAGGAAGGGCACGCACAGUGGAACUGAGACACGGUCCAAACUCCUACGGGAGGCAGAAGUGAGGAAUAUGGGUCAAUGGGCGUUAGCCUGAACCAGCCAAGUAGCGUGAAGGAUGAAGGCUUAUGGGUCGUAAACUUCUUUUAUAUAAGAAUAUGUAUUAUAUGAAUAAGGAUCGGCGAACUCCGUGCCAGCAGCCGCGGUAAUAC